rnacentral:rRNA from 1 species
GAUCCUGGCUCAGGAUGAACGCUAGCGACAGGCUUAACACAUGCAAGUCGAGGGGCAGCGGGGAGUAGCAAUACUCUGCCGGCGACCGGCGCACGGGUGAGUAACGCGUAUGCAACUUGCCUAUCAGAGGAGAAUAGCUCAUCGAAAGAUGAAUUAAUGCUCCAUAAAAACAGGGGGUUUCCGCAUGGGAAUAUUUGUUAAAGAUUCAUCGCUGAUAGAUAGGCA